GCUGUUAAGGGUUCGUAGUUGAAUUGUGGAUUGUGACGCCGGGGUAAAGUCCUUUUCCCCGGUCUAGGAAAGCCCCGAUCACCGUCCGAGAACGUCAGAAACUAAGAUCACGGAAGCGGUAUUUACCCGAAAGGGUACCCGCCAGAUUCGCGAGCAAUGCACGCAGGCGGGCGUCCGUGUUCUUACUGUGACUAAAGAAGUGCGACCAAAGCAGUCCAUCGACAUGAAUUAGAAAGCUGGGAUAACAAAGGAGCAGCCUACGAGCUACCGUUUAGGCUUUUGUUGGUUUUAAAGGUUUGUGGGGAUUACGGGCUGGCAGGACCGGCGUAGCGGAGUUUUGCGACUCCCGCGCCCCCCCCUCUACCGGGGUGUCAAAACUUCGGUGUGUGCGGGGCCUGUCAUGCUUAGGAAUGAGGAGGGUUGCUCGGGGGAGAACGUACUUGAGCGUGAGAGGUGAAAUUCUUAGACCGCUCAAGACGAACUACAGCGAAGGCAUUCUCCAAGGAUACCUUCAUCAAUCAAGAACUAAAGUG
rnacentral:rRNA from 1 species